rnacentral:rRNA from 1 species
GAUCAGUCGGACUCAGGACGAACGCUGGCGGCGCGCCUAACACAUGCAAGUCGAACGAGAGAUGAGGAGCUUGCUCUUCAAAUCGAGUGGCGAACGGGUGAGUAACGCGUGAGGAACCUGCCUCAAAGAGGGGGACAACAGUUGGAAACGACUGCUAAUACCGCAUAAGCCCACGGCUCGGCAUCGAGCAGAGGGAAAAGGAGCGAUCCGCUUUGAGAUGGCCUCGCGUCCGAUUAGCUAGUUGGUGAGGUAACGGCCCACCAAGGCGACGAUCGGUAGCCGGACUGAGAGGUUGAACGGCCACAUUGGAACUGAGAAACGGUCCAGACUCCUGCGGGAGGCAGCAGUGGGGAAUAUUGGGCAAUGGGCGAAAGCCUGACCCAGCGACGCCGCGUGAGGGAAGAAGGUCUUCGGAUUGUAAACCUUAGUUAGCAGGGAAGAAGAAAGUGACGGUACCUGCAGAGAAAGCCACGGCUAACUACGUG